AGGACUGCCAAGCAGGGAGGGUAGAAAGGACUGCCAAGCAGAGAAAGAAACAUGAAUCAGAACCAGCUAAUACAGGAUGGGAGAGUACAUGUGCCAUUAUCAAACACACAGAGGAGUGAAUAAGAAGCAAAGGAUAUUGCCACGGUUUCUACGGGACUGAACAAAGGGGGACCCACACAGGAAUGAAAACUUAAAACAAAACAGCCACUAAGGAAGGCGCAGAGGGACUUCCUUUCGGCCCGAAACAGUAUCUGUGCUGCCAAAGUUGUUUUCCUUGUGACUCAAAUGAGGAAGAAUAAACUUGGUUUAGGACUAUUCAAUGCCAGUGUUUUCAGAUGGCUCCACCAGCAGAGAACAGAGAAGGGGAGAAGAGGAAAAGCAGCUGGACGUCGGGGACUGCGGUUUGACGUCGGAGAGAAGCAGCUUGACUUCAGAGGGACAGCUUGACCGCUUUGCUUUGGAGAGGAGUCUGGCUGGGGAUGGCUGGACUCCAGGGGAAGAUCGUCUUCCUGUUCCAUCCCUUUUCCAGCUCCCCUCCCACUGAGAGCCACUUUCAUUGGCAAUAAAAUCCUCCAUAUUCACCACC